CUCCUAAAGGAAGGUCUCAAAUCUGAGGUCCUGUUCGAGCAGGUGAAGAUGUCUGAUGUUCACUUUCCCGGUGGGGUUUCAUGCCUCCGUCACCAUCUCCGACCCGUGUUCAUCACUUAAACACCUCAGUGCCACCAAAAACCCAAAACAUGGUCACAUUUGUUCUAAUUCCAUAUAAAAAUCCAGCGGAGAUUUGUUUCAUUGUUGAGUUUCUGAAUCUAAUAAAGGAUUGAGUACAUUUUGCUUGUUGCUUGAAUUGAUGUGUGAUGAUGAGAAUAACGGUGAAGAUCCUGAUCUAGAAAGUUCAUGUACAUGAAGGUUGGAAAAGCUCAGUGUCCCAGUUCUGUUUACGGAGCAUCCAGGCAUAUGAAGAGCUCUUCCAUUAGUUCGGAGAGGAAUAACGCGCUCGGUGUGGUGCUGUUGGAGGGAAAUGAUCAGUGAUGUGCUGGUGAAGUGAAGCGUGGUUACUCUUCCCAUCACUGAAGGGGAUUAUUUUCUCACAACAGCACGUCCUAUCCCAGUGUUCUUUCUCUCAUACCGCAGCAGUUUAACGACAGGAUGAUUACGUUAUUUGUUAAAGAAUCGCACGUCAUUUUUACUUUUAACGAUGUGUUGUAGUCUCUUGCGUUAUAGCAGCUAUAAACGGUCGUUCCCUCACCAGAAACUCUUGUCCUGUAGAAGUUUCAACCUUGGACUGUUACAAAGCACUGACACUGGAGACUCCUUCCAUACACAUUUUUAAAAAAAGACAACACUUACAGAAAAUUUCACAUCAACGAUUACACGUUACUUUUAUUCGUUUAUGUGGAGCAUCAGCUGUACGAGUCCCUGCGAACAAACUGCUGCUAUAGAAACGAUAAAUGAACAGGCGCGUUAAUAUAAACUGUCAGAGCCGCUGUGUUGGAAGAUGAAUCAACACCUUCUCAAGAGUCAGAUUCGUUUAAAUCGUUUUAAUUGCCUCAACUCCACGCGCUCAUCCCCUCAUCAUGCUCAUGUGACUCGGGUAUGAUGUAGCGCUGUGUUGGAAGAGGAAGUGCGUGGGGAAACACCGGUGGUCACAGGAGCAGGAAGUCUUUGAGGAUUGAUUUUUAUGCGCGUUGUUUAGCCAGACAGCCUGAAUGUCAUGUGAUGACAAUGUCCACCAUGAUGCAAGAUCUGGACCACACUAGGUGAUACUCAGCUGAUUCUGAGGUUCCUGAUGGUUGCACAACUUGUCCCGGUCUUAGAAUGGUCCAUCUUCCUACGUGUAAAAUCAGUUGUCAUGACGUCGUAUGUGAAGAAGCAAUAAAGCGGUCUUCUGCCAUGUUUAUUUUGAUCCAAAGUCACAUUUAUUUAAAGAAAUUCUUUGAAUCAGGAUCAUGGGUUUUUUGUAGACAUGUCUUAUCAUGGGUAGGGGUUUGAUCACUGAAGGAUGAUCCCAGAAGAAAAACGCACUGAAAUCAUUCGUUAUGUAUCUGAGGCCUCAUGUUUUUCACCAUCAGUACUAUCUCCCAGGUCUCAGGAAUUCCACUACCUCCACGUCGUUUAUAUCUGUAUCUGUUCCAGCUGAAGCAUAAGCCUUUUAAAGAGCACGCAUGCAGGACUACUGAGUUGAGACACAGUGAUAUAAAAAAGCAAAUAAUGUGCAAUUUUGUGCAAUGUUUUUGUAAAAAAAAAUAAUAAACUACACACUUAUAACAUAACAUUGACCUGUACCAUUACAGAAAAUAAAAACUAUCCAUCCGUCCACUUUCUGUACCUACACAGCGUCAUGGGAAGCCUGAAGCUUCCUGGAUGCCUGGAGUCCCUCCACAAGGUGGAGAACACCGUGGAUGGUGUGACAAGCCAUUUCAGGGCACACUCACACACAUUCCCUCACUAUGGACAAUUUAGAGAUGCCAAUCAGUUUAUAACUUGUCUUUGGACCGGUGGAGGAAACCGGAGUACCCAGAGGAUACCCCCGAAGCCUGAGGAGAACAUGCAACACAGGGCAGAGGCGGUAACGGAACCAUGGAGGUGCAAGGCAAACAUGCUCACCACUAAUCCACCAAUUUCAUUCCAACUCAACAUUACAAAUAUUCUUCUGAGUGCUGUAAGAGAUUCAUUCUAGAAUGUUAUUUAGACCAACGCUUUCAUAUGUAGUAAAUUCUACUGAGUGUGUUGUGUUUGUACAAUAUCAGAAUCUGGUGAUGAAUCCCAUUAUUGAAAUUGAAUUUACUGAUGCUAAAUAAAUACAACACACAAUACUGAAGGGUGAAAGUAAAGGCCAAACCAAUGAAAACAGGCCGUCCCAAAAUUCCCAAAUAUGAUGUUUAGAUUCCUAAACAUGCUGUUCCAAGAUUUCCUAAUACUCUGUCACAAAAUUCCCUAACACACUGUCACAAAUGCUCCAACACUCUGUCCCAAGAUUCCCAAACAUACUGUCAAAAAUUCCCUUACCCUGUGUUAGGGAAUCUUGGGACUGUGCAUUAGGGAAUUUUGGGACUGUGCGUUAGGGAAUUUUGGGACAGUGUGUUAGGGAAUCUUGGG
ensembl:lncRNA